rnacentral:rRNA from 1 species
UACGUAGGGGGCGAGCGUUGUCCGGAAUCAUUGGGCGUAAAGCGCGAGCAGGCGGCUAUGAGAGCCCGGCGUGAAAGCCCCCGGCUCAACCGGGGGAGGCCGUCGGAGACCUUAUGGCUAGAGGCCGGCAGGGGUGAGUGGAAUUCCCGGUGUAGUGGUGGAAUGCGUAGAGAUCGGGAGGAACACCAGUGGCGAAGGCGGCUCACUGGGCCGGACCUGACGCUGAGGCGCGAAAGCGUGGGGAGCGAUCCGG